rnacentral:rRNA from 1 species
UACGUAGGCAGCGAGCGUUGUUCGGAGUUACUGGGCGUAAAGGGUGUGUAGGCGGCUCUCUAAGUUUGGUGUGAAAUCUCCCGGCUCAACUGGGAGGGUGCGCCGAAUACUGAAGGGCUAGAGUGCGGGAGAGGAGAGUGGAAUUCCUGGUGUAGCGGUGAAAUGCGUAGAUAUCAGGAGGAACACCGGUGGUGUAGACGGCUCUCUGGACCGUAACUGACGCUGAAACACGAAAGCGUGGGUAGCAAACAGG